UUGAGGUCAGAUUUUUGAAAACGUGGUCAUCCAAAGUUCUCGGUACAGAAAAUCUGUUUUGUAUGGAUCAGAGUUAGACAUGGUCAUGUAAUAUAUAACAAUGUAAUAGCAAGUGUUAUGUUGUUUUUGAAAAUGCUCUGAAAAUGAAAAAAGCUUUGUUUAUCCACUAUGCUAUCAAAUGCUCUUUUACCUUGCAUGUUAGGCGGAUCAACAUUCCAUCCAUCUGCAUUAGGAUCUACCUUAGAGACACUCACUGGAGCUGUAAAUGGGAAGCAGUUCACUUACUUUGCAUUUGUCCUUGGUGGUCACCCCAGGGUCUCUAGAGUGAAAAUUACUCAAUCUAUGGAUUAAACAGAAAAUUUAGUUGUAUGAAGUGCAAUUUGGGACAUUCUUCCAGUUGUCGGCAACUUUGUGAAAAAGGCUAGAAACUAAAAUGCAGAAUUCUGGCCUGGUGUUUGGUCUGUGCUGUCUUUGGCUCUUGCAUCUCCAUCAUCCUGACCCUCUUUAGCAGCCUGUCCAUGUAUUUAUUUGGAAGCCACCAUGAGCAACCAUCUGCAUAAUAUGACUUUGUUACUCAGAUGUCCAUGCGCUCCUACAAAUUCUACAUUUUUUGUAAAGCUGCAACAAGUUGAAACCCUAUAAUUAUUAACAUUUGAUUUUGAACUAUGUAAUUAAAAUACAUGAAUAAGUAACAAAAGCAGAAAUCUAUUAAGACAUUACCUUUUUGUUGCUUGUUUACUGAUCUAUCAAUCCUUUUGCAUUUUCAUAAUUGAUCAUCAUAACUUGGUAUACAGUGGAUGUGUGGCUGUAGAUAACUUUCUGAAGUCAAUUUAAAAAGACAAAAGUUAAUAA